rnacentral:rRNA from 1 species
GACGAACGCUGGCGGCGUGCUUAACACAUGCAAGUCGAACGGAAAGGCCCUGCUUUUGUGGGGUGCUCGAGUGGCGAACGGGUGAGUAACACGUGAGUAACCUGCCCUUGACUUUGGGAUAACUUCAGGAAACUGGGGCUAAUACCGGAUAGGAGCUCGUGCUGCAUGGUGGGGGUUGGAAAGUUUCGGCGGUUGGGGAUGGACUCGCGGCUUAUCAGCUUGUUGGUGGGGUAGUGGCUUACCAAGGCUUUGACGGGUAGCCGGCCUGAGAGGGUGACCGGCCACAUUGGGACUGAGAUACGGCCCAGACUCCUACGGGAGGCAGCAGUGGGGAAUAUUGCACAAUGGGCGGAAGCCUGAUGCAGCAACGCCGCGUGCGGGAUGACGGCCUUCGGGUUGUAAACCGCUUUCGCCUGGGACGAAGCGUGAGUGACGGUAACUGGUAAAGAAGCACCGGCUAACUACGUG